GAUUAUAUGGUCUAAUGGUUAAGACUGAAGAUUGCAAAUCUUUAUAUAUUGGUUCGAAUCCAAUUAUAAUCU
rnacentral:tRNA from 1 species